rnacentral:antisense_RNA from 1 species
UGUUAUGGCGGCUGUGCGCGGGAGACCUUCGGGUCUGCCGGGUUCCUAUUGCCCCGGUCUUCCACACCUGCGUACAGCCGCCGCCCUA